UUGCUUCAGAAGUACAUAUACUAAAAUUGGAACAAUACAGAGAAGAUUAGCACUGCUCCUGUGCAAGGAUUACAUGCAAAUUCAUGAAGCAUUUAAAAAACCA
ensembl:snRNA U6 U6 spliceosomal RNA